rnacentral:tRNA from 1 species
GUUGGAUGUGGUGUAAGGGUAGCACGGCUGCUUGUGACGCAGUUGGUGACGGUUCGAUCCCGUCCAUCCACC